rnacentral:tRNA from 1 species
GCCGGUGUGGUGGAAUGGCAGACGCGGCGGACUCAAAAUCCGCUGUCCGCAAGGGCAUGAGAGUUCGAAUCUCUCCACCGGCA